UACGAAGGGGGCUAGCGUUACUCGGAAUCACUGGGCGUAAAGCGCACGUAGGCGGACUCUUAAGUCGGUGGUGAAAUCCUGGAGCUCAACUCCAGAACUGCCUUCGAUACUGGGAGUCUCGAGUCCGGGAGAGGUGAGUGGAACUGCGAGUGUAGAGGUGAAAUUCGUAGAUAUUCGCAAGAACACCAGUGGCGAAGGCGGCUCACUGGCCCGGUACUGACGCUGAGGUGCGAAAGCGUGGGGAGCAAACAGG
rnacentral:rRNA from 1 species